rnacentral:rRNA from 1 species
CACGUAGGGCGCAAGCGUUGUCCGGAAUUAUUGGGGCGUAAAGAGCUCGUAGGCGGUCUGUUGCGUCCGCUGUGAAAACUCGGGGCUUAACCCCGAGCCUGCAGUGGAUACGGGCAGACUAGAGGUAGGUAGGGGAGAAUGGAAUUCCCGGUGUAGCGGUGAAAUGCGCAGAUAUCGGGAGGAACACCGGUGGCGAAGGCGGAUCUCUGGGCCAUUACUGACGCUGAGGAGCGAAAGCGUGGGGAGCGAACAGG